rnacentral:lncRNA from 1 species
UUUCGUUCGGAUUCUAUAAUCCAAACAGUAUAGAGCGUGCGGGAAACUCAUAGGGUGGAAAAAGAAACACUGAAAUCUUAAUUAAAAUAUCUCUCAAGACUUACUGUGCCCAUGUAAAAGCAUUGUCAAGUGCAGCCAAGGAUCCUCCAACAAAAGGCUUAGGUGGAUUUGGAUCAUAGGCUAUCCACCAUCCAACAGGUAUUCUGACUGCAUCUAAUCCAUUUUGUGACAUAAAUCUGAAAUCAUCUUCAGUUAUGUAUGAAUUCCAAUGCUCCUGCAAAGCAAACAAAGCUCAAAAUUUAGAUGAUAUGGAAAUCCAACAAAGAUUUCAACAAGUCAUAGUUUCUCAUGAAAAGUUUAUAGGAAUUCUCACCCUUAAGACUUGAGGGGCUCUAUCAGGACCAUAACCAUUAGUAAGUUGGUACUCUCCUUCUAAAGUUCUUACAAUUGUCAUUUUAAAGACUGAUGGGUCACUUUCUUCCCAAUUUGUGCCUUGAUAAUUUGCUGUCACUAAUGUCUCUGAUUGAGCCUUCAUAAAUAAUAUGGUCAGAGGAUUCAUACUUCUAGGUAAUUUUUAGUAACUUACAUAACAAGUUUUCACUAUUAAAAUUGGCAAAAUUAUUCAUACUUAAAUAACAAACUUUUAGAAGUUGUGUACUUAUUCCGAGUACAUAACUAGAUUAAAAAAUUCCAAAUUAUUAGCUUGAGGAUGGACUAAUGAGUACCUGCAAAAAUAGACCAUUUGAUGCUUUGAUUCGAAUUUUGAGGGGAUCAUCAUUGUUCCUUAUAAUCUGAAAUGUUUCUCUGUUGCCAGGUGAAUCUGAAAAGGAUACAAUUGUGUUACCUCCUCCUAUAUUAUUUAAGCCCACAAAUUUUUUGUUGAACACCCUAAAGUUGAAGGAUGAGUCAUUGACCCUCCAAAGCUGCAAAUUAAUGAGCAAAUAAUUAGAACUCACAACGGGUGGUUAAAUUUAUUAAAAAUAAAUAAAAAAAUGCUCUCUUUAGUUCUAUUUAUAAAAGAAAUUUAGGUCAACCAAGGUUGAUGUAUCAUUGAAAAAUUAGACCAGAUACAUCAACUUUUGUUAACCUAAAUAUCUUUUAUAAAUGGAACGGGAGAGAGUAUUUCUUUUGUUACAUAUUACUUACUUUGAAUGUUUCCCAACCAGAAGGUGAACCACGGUUGGCUACAAUAGCAGUUCCUCCUCCAUCUUCAGCACAAAGAUAUUUCUGAAACUUUGUUGACUUGAAUUGUACUUGAGUUCCAUCCUAAAUCAAAACAUACAUACAAUGAUUUUUUGGUGGAAAUUUGAACUUCUUAAUAUUAGGAGGUUAUAAAUAAAAUUGAGGGAGUGAUACCAAGAGAUCUUUGUUGACAAUUCCUUCAAAGAGAGAAGGUUUCAUCCACCCCUCAGCCAAAAGCCAGUUUCCUAGAUUCACUGCUUUGUAUGGCGGAUUUCCCAUUUUUGAAAUGGCUUGUAACCAAAGAUUGUGUGUUUGUCUGUGUGAGACUGUGUGUGUGUAUAUAUAAUAGCAAUGAACCAAUGUUACGAGUUAAAGGGUUCCAUAAGAAAUUGCUAUAUAAGUUUUGAAAUCUAUGUUGUGUACCAAAUGUAAAUUAGAAGUUUUAUUGGUAUUUUCUAAGUAAGAGAAUCUAUAAACACACUGUCUUUCGGUUUUGGAUUAAUGAUGUGGUAUCGAACUCAUUUGUGUGGUUGUUCUUGAUUCGAUGUGAAUGACCUCUUUGUUUCGAAAGUCUUUAUGUCAAUUUAGAAGGUGUGUUUUGUUGAUUGUCACAACAACGGUACAAGUACAAAUGUACGUGGAUGAAAGAAAAAUUGUUUAAUGAAUUAAUGGACUUAUACUUGAGGUGGAAAUUAUUGUAUACAUUAUAAUUGAGAUAUCCACGAAACGAAUGUCUUAAAAUUUUAGGUUAAGGAUAUGAUAUACAACUCAUGACCCAACAAUUUCUAAUUAUGGUGAGUUAUUGACACUCACUUAAAUUUUAAACUUUUGUUUGGGAAAAGAAUAAAAGAAAGAGUCCAGGUUGGCUGCGUUUCCGCUGCAUUAUUCAAAGUCUCUCUAGAUUUUAAUAUUAGGAAGUGUGGCUUUUAACAUAGACAAAUGGUGGCCAAGAUACAUCUAAAUAAAGUGGCAACUACACCCUCUCUCAUUAUUCCCAUUAUUAAUGUUAUAGACAAAAAUUUAUAUUUUAGAUUUAUUGAAUUGUUAAUUUAUUUGUUUUAUAAUAUUGGUAAGAUACAUCAAUUUUUCAAUAAAUUUAAAAAAUUAUUUUUUUACUUGAUAUGAAGAUGUAUAUUAUCCACCUUUUAGUAACAGUAAAAUGUUCAAUGGCACAUGUUAUCUACAGCCAACUUGUUCUUCCAACUUGCAAGUCAUUUAUCAGUAUUAUUAUUUUUUGACAAAUAGAGUUGCUAGUAUUUUUUGGACAGAAGUUACAAGUACUACCAAAAAAAGACGUUUUUUUUUUUGUUUUUGUUGAUCAUGUGUAGACGUAUUUUAUUAAAUUAGAAAAGACACUGGUUAUAAUUAUAAAGUUGCAUAUAUAAAAAAUAAAAAAGACUAAUUGAUAUUUUUAUGGGAGAUUUGAAUGAUUGUAUUAUUGAGUUGAAUAUGACAGCAAAUAUGGGCUGGAAUCUUGAUAUGAAGUGGCAACAUUUUUGGGCAACAUUGUUUAUGGUAAGACAAUUGUUGUCCACACUUCACACAAUGCUAAGAAACAUCUGAAAAAUGUUAAUUGGAGGGCUGAUGCUGAUUUAGUGUGUUCUAAACAAUAGGAAAAACAGUUGUUAUUGAUAGUUUCAGGUAACAAUAAGACAUGAUGAUAACAUUCAGCAAAAUAAUAAUUUUUUUUAGCUUGAUGAAAUAAUCAAUUUACAAAUAAUGUAGUAUUGCCUCCUCUCAAAAAAUAAAAUUUAGUCUUGCCCAGAAAUUUAUGUGCAAUUGUGUUCUUCCAAUAUAUAGUUGUUUAUGGAAUUUGAUAUGCCUUCAUAUAUUGAAAUGUAGUAUUUUAUUAAUUAGUAUAAGCACAAUACAUUUAUGGCCAUUACUUUUCCUCACCUUUGCUACUACAAAAUCCUCAUAUUAUUUAAGUUUACAGUCAGAUAAAGCGAGAAAUGUUAGCAAUACGUACUUUAACAUACACUUUUCAAUAUACUCUUUUUGAUUGGUUAAAAUUUACAUGAGUUUCAUCAAAUCAUGUGGUUCCCAUAUAAAUUUUGUGAGACGUAUGUGAACUUUAACCAAUCAAAGAGAGUAUUUGAAAAAUGUGUGUUGUUCUCGUUUCUUUGGAUAACAAAUAUUUGAUGUUCGGGGUGGGGAAAGUAACCCCUUACAUCUAGAGCUUUAUGUAACCAUUCUCGAUCAUCCACUUGAGACUCCAAUGGUUAUAUUGACAUUUGUAUGCCCAAUAAGCCCAUCCAAAUGUUGCACGAGAAUACACAUCUAGUUGUGCUUGGCCAUAUCUUUGGUAGUCUUGCAUAGAUGCACCUUGCACAAGAAACUCAUCAGUCCAUUCCCCUAUCAAAAGAAAAAAGCAAAAACAUAUAGUUAUCACCAAUAUAUAAUAUAACCUCCAAGAACUAUCAAUAAAGUUAUCUAGGACAUAAUAUAACAUAUAGUUUGUUUGAUUGUUGAUAUAUUUGAAAAAUAUGAUAGUAAACAAGAUACAAAGUUUGGAAGAAAAAAAACUGUAUAAGUUGUUCUAGAGAAUCUGAGUUUGAAUCUUGAGAUUUGACACUUACCUACAAAACUAAGAGCGUUUGUUGAAGAGACGCCGCUAAGAUCUGAGGCUCUUUCGUUGUUUAUGUAGUCAAUAUUUUGUUGAACAUUCAUGUUAGUGAAUUUGUCCGAAUAAAGAUUGUAGUAAUGCACAUCAAGGACAACUUUGUUGAAUCCAGUGACAAAUGAGAGAAGUACUUUAGAAUCUGCAUCCAAUGGGUUUGACAUUAUCACAUAAGCAUUUGGAUUGUAUUUCCUCACUGCAUCAUAAGCCUCCUUGUAAUAUUUCUUGAGGCUAUCUAGAUUGACACCUUGUGGCUCAUUCAUCAACUCUAUUCCUCCUAAACUUGGUCUAUUACCAUACCUGUCCACAAAUUCAAUUCAAGUAUCAAAGAAAUCAGUCACUUAAUUAGUACAUAUCAUCAUAUAUAUCAUUAGAAUUCAAGUCUAAGUGGUUAGUCCCACAUUCAUUAUGAAUAGGCUAAAUGAUUGAUAUAUAAGAAAGGUAACUCGUAUAUUUAAUGUUUUAAAUUUUUGUGUGGAGAUCUGAAGUCAAGAUGUGGCAUGUUACGUAGGUGGUGUAUUUUGGCAGUUCUGAUAACUAGAAUCAGGUGGCAUGUCUCGUCAAGAGCAACAACGAACUAAACAGAUGAAGAAAAAUCUUGGUGCGUCCAAACGGCCUGAACCAUGGGAAACAUGUGAGCGGGAAUUUGAAUUCAAAUUCUGACAGGUAGGUCCCUCAAGAAAGGGAACUUCCUACUUUUUAUGCAUUAUGGCGGACACACUUGUAGAUAAUAACCACUCAUAUUUGAAUAUUAUACUACUUAUACUCGAUAUAUGGGAUACCUCUCUUGUAUUAUUUUUGUUUAACUCAUUUCUACUCGAUAUGAGAUGAGACUAAUCACUCACGCUUCAAUUCUAGUGUAUAUCACACAACUAUUAAAGAGAAGAAACUCAUGAGUCCAUUAUCAAGAAACAAACCUUUUUGCUAGGAAAUCUAUGACAGAGACUGUCUGAGGUAUGUAUGAUUCACCCCAUUCUAUAAAUCCAUCUCUUGUUCCACUGUGAUCAUUACCAUUUUGAGAACCUUCAACUGCAUGCAAGUCCACAAUCACUUUCAUCCCAUGGAUUCUGUAAAUUACAAAGAUAUAUACUUGAUUGGUAAUCAUGAAACAUUAAGAUAAAAUAAAAUAAAAAAAGCAAAUUAAAUGAGCACAAAAAGGUACAUUACUUGUUACGCGACGCUACUAGAAAAAGUUAAAAUAACAACGGAAAUUCAAUAAAAAAAAAUAUUUAAAAUUGGUCACCAAAUUUAGUUUGUCUAACACUUCGCAACGGAUAUUGUCUUUCUGUCUCUAAAUUUUCAUCGCUAUUUCAAUUUUUCUAAUAGUGUGUUGCGAUUUAAUUAAAAUAUCGUCUCAAAGACUUACUGUGCCCAUGUGAAAGCAUUGUCUAAUGCUGCCAAUGAUCCUCCAACAAAAGGCUUAGGUGGGUUUGGAUCUUGAGCUAUCCACCAUCCAACAGGUAUUCUCACUGCAUUUAAUCCAUUUUGUGACAUGAAUGUGAAAUCAUCUUCAGUUAUGUAAGAAUUCCAAUGGUCCUGCAAAGCAAACAAAGCUCAAAAUUAAGAUGAUAUGGAAAUCCAACAAAGAUUUUCAACAAGUAAUAGUUUC